rnacentral:rRNA from 1 species
GACGAACGCUGGCGGCGUGCUUAACACAUGCAAGUCGAACGAUGAAGCUGGAGCUUGCUCCGGUGGAUUAGUGGCGAACGGGUGAGUAACACGUGAGUAAUCUGCCCUUGACUCUGGGAUAACUGCGGGAAACUGUAGCUAAUACCGGAUACGACACCUUCGGGCAUCCGAUGGGUGUGGAAAGAAUUUCGGUCAAGGAUGAACUCGCGGCCUAUCAGCUAGUUGGUGAGGUAAUGGCUCACCAAGGCGACGACGGGUAGCCGGCCUGAGAGGGGGACCGGACAGACUCGGACUGGGACACGGCCCAGACUCCUACGGGAGGCAGCAGUGGGGGAUAUUGCACAAUGGGCGAAAGCCUGAUGCAGCAACGCCGCGUGAGGGAUGAAGGCCUUCGGGUUGUAAACCUCUUUUAGUUGGGAAGAAGCGAAAGUGACGGUACCAACAGAAAAAGCACCGGCUAACUACGUGCCAGCAGCCGCCGCCG